GCGCAUAGAGAUGGGCAAAAAAAGUGAGCACAGAAGGAUGAAUACAGAAACAGAAUUGAAUUACUUUUGUGAAGUUCAGGUUUCAAGUUCUCAAGAAUGAGUACGUGCUGAAAAAAAAAAAAAGCCUCCUGGGGCUGUGACUGUACUAUUGCCAUGAAAGCUCCGGAACAAACAGUUUUGCAUAAUGAGUGCAUUAGGCCUGUGUGGCUAGUGACCUUUCAGAACCUCACAAGCAACCGAGGAUUAGCCCUGAGAGAGGCUAUUUUGAGUCACAGAGGGUCUUCAACUGCAAGCCUGCGUUUAAGCACAGCACACCAGCAGCAGUCCAAGGAGCAGGUUUAUGGAAGAACGUUCUUCCUUUUAGUGCACUUCUGGCUGAAAGAUCCAUGUUUAGGAUACCUGGUGACCAACAGAAAUGCGAACAGCUGUUAAAAGUCUCUGAUCAAGAAGGCCUGAUAACUCCAACACUGAGAAAAUCCCCAGACUCCAUAUUGCCGAUUACUUCUCCAACCAGUAGCUGGUUUGCAAGACCACAAAAUCUGGUACCGUUCAACAGAAUGCUGAUGGCUAAAUAGAAAUGGUCCACAAAUAGGGCUCAGUAGUGCUACAGAAAUAUGAACAACAACAGGAGAGGCAGCACACAACAUGACUAAUGAUGAAGUAAUUAAUGCUUAGAGAAGUGUUUA